AAUUUUAGGUAAUUCUUUUUUUGCCACGUUUGCAAUAUAAUUUUCCAUCUUUGUUAACAUUGUUAGUCAAAUAACUGAACCGCUUUUACAGAUAAUUCCGCUUUGACUUAUCAUGUUCUGUUAUAAUGCUACAGAUUUAUUUUUAUCCUUUAUCUGUUUACAAUAAAAUUAUCAACAUUUCUUAGAACUCCAAUUAAGAAUCUAUUGAAGACCCUUUUGGGCACUAUUAUUCAAUGUUAUGGAUGUCCGAGGGACACCUAUAAAAACCAAGCACCCAUGAUUAACGACAAAAAUGUUGAUAUGUACAAACUGUUCAAGGUUGUCAUUAACUUGGGCGGUUUUAACAAAGUCAGUAAAUGUUAACAGUGGAUAACUGGCACAAAGGAUUGGCCACAAACCGUGUUUCUUCUGUCAAACAAUAUUACCUACAGUAUCUACAUAGUAUUGAAGAUUUCUACCAAAAACUCGGCUGCUUGAUGAUAAGUCAUCUUAGAGGAGUGAGAUCUGGAAGCAGAUUUAGUCGCAGUAUCAUUCAUGAUGUGGAUAAAGCGUUACCCUCUAGCAGUUUUGAUAAGAACAGGCAAACGACUAUUGCCAUUAAAUUAGAACCUAAGGAAUAAAAAGAAAAAAUAGAAACUUUCAUAAAGGAAGCCGAUAUUGUCAAAGAACCGGUGACACCAAAAAAACCUUCCAAAACUUUAAAAGUCGAAGACAAGGUUGCUUUAACUAUGAAGAGUAGUGAUAAACAUGUUGCUAAGAAAGUAGAUAAGAAAAAAUACAGGCCUGAAACAAUCGGAAAGAAAACGGAACCGUUUGUCUGAAAAAAAGCCUUUGAAAACCGUAAGGGUAGAAGAGAAGGUGGCAGCAACAUUAAAGAACAACAUUGAAAUUCCACACAAAGUUGACAGAAAAAAAGAAAAGUCUGAAAUCGUUUUGAAAGAAAAGGAAAUGGCUACUGAGUCUGUGACUAAAAAGCCAAGUAAAACGAAAAUAGAAGAAACAAUUACUUGUUCUGGUAAUAGUGCUCGAAACAAAUCUACUGUUAAAAGUGACUCUGUACUGGCUGAAUCAAAAGAUCUUCCUAAGGACAGCAAGGUUAAAAAGGAAUUUAAAGAAGCUACUGUUUAAAAAAAAAGGAAAAUGAUUGAGGAAAAACGCCAUUAUUUAAAAAAUCCAAAGAGAAGCUUCUGCUAACCAAAUUACAGCCAAACCAAAAAUCGAAGAGGAACUACCAAUGUAUUACCAUUCGUUGUCGUCAACGCUGUCGUCCGAAGACGAGCAGAUCCAGCUCAAGAAGAGAAGAAUCGUUGAUGACAAAAAACUGUCGUCGUUGCUGAAGAAACGGGGUGAAGAAUCCAAACGUUGAUUGCGACAUACACAAGCCUAGCACGAGCAAAGGGUUUUUCAACGCCAUGCGCCAUCAACCUUAACAGCAACCCGAUCGCGAACAUCAUUUCUACGAGUCCAAAUCGCCUUCCAAAACUGAGGCGGUAGCGGUUUGUACGAACCAAGUUCGUCUAAGGUUAAUUUGUUUAGAACCCGAAAGCAAACGGUACAAUCAUAGCAAAAUAACAAUUCCUACUAAAGAUGGUAAACCGCUGGUUACGUUCACACCAGAGAUGGAUUCGGCUCAACGUCAAGCAGUGAUUUUUUUGUAUAAAAUCAACAAACUUCAAAAAGAUUACACCACGGACAAAGCACGCAUUGUAGUGCUGGAUCGCAGGAGAAAGAAGAUCAGGAAACGCAAGAGGGAACUAGCAAAGAGAACAGCCGCAGUGAAUCCGAACAAACAGUCGACAGCUGUUGCAACCAAAUAAUUCUCUCACCCAAUAACAAUACGUUUUUGUAUUUAAUGUUUUUAAUAAUAACCCCCUUAGUUGUACAUAAUUGUCAGAGUGGCUUCGUAAUGACAAUGAUUUGUUAUGAAUGUGUAAUGUGUUGAAACUUUCGCGGAUUGAAAUAUCACAUGAAUGAUUUGCGGAUAUAUCCGCGUAAAUAGUUGUUUACCGACGUUUCCGACUCAUUAUGUCACGACUAUUCCGCUGUACAGUCACGGCAGCGAAACAGUUGUGACAUUACCCUGAAGAUGGACUCUGCAAAGAGUCCGAAACUACCAUUGACGCAGAUAUAUCUGAAAAUCAUUCAUGUGAAUCGAUUUGUUGUUAAUACUAAUAUUAUUUAUUCAUAUUAAUUAAUUAAAUUAUUUUUCAUGUUCCUCUGUAGUGUCGGUUCAAGCGUUUUUUUUUUUUUCAUUUAAGCGCCUGAUCUUACUAGACACGCUAUUGUUGUAUUAUAUUAAAUAAUAAUAAAAAUUGGGGCGAUCAAAUAUCUUUUAUCAAAUUUUUUAAUUGCACUUUAUAUUUUAUCAAAAUUUACUAGGUAUUAUAUUUAGAAAAUAUUUGUAUAGAAAUUUAAAAAACCGUGUACACCCUAUAUUUUAGAUUAUCAAUAAUAUUAUUUAUGUCAUAAAUUGUAUAUUGUAAUGUUACAUAUUUAUUAAAGUAGCAAAACAUAAUAUUGUUUUCCGACUUAAAUUUUACCAAGAAUUAGAGAUAUGUUGUGUUGUUAUAGUUUGUAAAUAUAGACAUUUUUUUUUUCACUUUUGGAAAGGUUGCCGGCGUCACUAAUUUACAUUAAAUUUGUAUGUACUGUAUC